rnacentral:piRNA from 1 species
AAUUACUCCAAGCUUGUGCUCC